rnacentral:rRNA from 1 species
CACGUAGUUAGCCGGUGCUUUUUCUGCAGGUACCGUCACUCUCGCUUCUUCCCUGCUAAAAGAGGUUUACAACCCGAAGGCCGUCGUCCCUCACGCGGCGUUGCUGCAUCAGGCUUGCGCCCAUUGUGCAAUAUUCCCCACUGCUGCCUCCCGUAGGAGUCUGGGCCGUGUCUCAGUCCCAGUGUGGCCGGUCACCCUCUCAGGCCGGCUACCCGUCGUCGCCUUGGUGAGCCAUUACCCUCACCAACAAGCUGAUAGGCCGCGAGCUCAUCCUUGACCGAAGUUCUUUCCACCCACAGGAGAUGCCUCCGAGGGUCGUAUCCGGUAUUAGACGCCGUUUCCAGCGCUUAUCCCAGAGUCAAGGGCAGAUUGCUCACGUGUUACUCACCCGUUCGCCACUAAUCCAGAGGAGCAAGCUCCUCCUUCAUCGUCGACUUGCAUGUGUUAAGCACGCCGCCAGCGUUCGUCCUCGACGCCGAGGAUCGAAACUCU